CCUAGCCAGUUGCGCCUCCACAGAAAACGAAUCGGUGGUGGAGAGGAUAGCUUGAACUCCAUAGGUCCUAGGCGUCGCCGCCGAAGAGAAAAACAACCCCAACAUGCCGAAGGGCACAUCAGCACGGCGAGCGCGCACGCGACUGCAAGUCUGCCCCCCGCCACCAAUCCCCUACCUUCUCUGCUUCGAGACGCACGCCACUCUCACCCGCGCUGUCGCUGGAUCAUGGAUGGCGGGGCAAAAGGGCCAAUACCUACGACACCAUGGCCCAUGUAUCUCUGUUGCCGACGCCUCAAAGACCAGCGUGGUGUUGUCCAGCUUCAGGUUGGCGCGGGAGAUCGCGUUGGCGGCCCGGGGAGUCGCGGCGUAGCAGGGCAAGCACGUGGGACCUGUAGCUCUGGUGCCGGCCCUGCUCCUCCUGGAGGAAGGCCCUGGAGUCGAGCCGCAGGGUGAGCCCACUCUUGUGAAGGAUUGGAUUGCUGGAGAACUCUGUUCUUCAAUCGCGUUCUGGUGAAGGAGUCAAUCGCUGGUGAACGACGUGCUCAAUUUUGUACGUAAUUCUAUUUGCUUUUCUCCUGCUAUCUUCCCCAUGAAUCACUAACCGGAAUUAGGAACAUCAGAUUGCUUUCAACUUGAUCAACCUCUGCCCUUUUAUUCGUGGAAGAAGCAGCCGGUGAGGAUAACUGCUCUCCUUUUCAAUCUGACUGCCUUCAACUUGAUCAAGCUUUCCCUUUUAUAAAAGGAAGAAUCAGUCGGGGUUCUAUUUUGUCUAUUGAGAUGGAAGAAGAGGCUAACACAUCGUACCAUCGUACCAUGCCAACAUGAGCUACCAAGCUUUCCCUUUCACAUUUACUUUUCUCUCAUCCUGAAAUAUGGCAUUUGCACAAGUUUUUUGUGCUCAUGAUUACUUUUCCAUUGUAGAGCUAUAUUGUCCGGCUUGGUAACCCAUGUUGGCAUGAAAUUUAAAAAUUUGGAUGAAGCUUGGGCAUUUUGGCUUAGCUGUGGUGGUCAAAAGGGCUUUGAGGUCCCAAAAAGGUAUACGAACAAAAGGUCCGUAGAUGACAAGGUAACAUCAUGUCGAUUUGUUUGUGCAAGGAAAUGGAAUGCCUAAUCUCUUUUCCCAAAGUAAAUUAUGUUAUCAAGUCUGAAAAUGUACAAGUAGCAAGGGCUACAUGGGCUAAUUCAGUUAACAAGUCUAAAAAGUAAAUUCGGUUAUCAGCUAAUCGGCCUGCAGCGGUGCGACAACGACGGCGUGGCGCAACCGACCACCACCAUGGAGAUGGGUGUGCAGGUCAUCGACGUGGGGUUGCUGCGCGCGUAUGCCGAGGUGCUCAUCACGGCGACGACUCGAGGAGGCCGACGAACAGGAUGCCCUUGGACCGGCAUGGCGGGGGAGGCUAUGUAGCACGCGUUGCUUUGGUUGCCCUGUAUCCUGGAUGCCGCCGACCACGGGGGCUCCGGCUGCACGUGUUUCCCGGCCGCCUCCGAGCAGGAGGGCUCUCGCAAUGUGUUGCUUUGUAUCCCGGCCACCGCGGACAGUGAGGGCUCCCUCUGCACGUGUUGCUUUGUUUCCCAGCCGCCGCUGACCACUCGGGCUCCGUCUUCACGUGUUGCUCUGCGUCCAUUGCUCCUUUGGCGACGGUGAGGACGCGCCGAGAGCUCAUUCUACCAUAACGGAGAACUGGAUUUUUAAAUUUGAGAGGGAUAACGGGAAUUUUAGGGGAACGAGGAGGUUAUUGAAAUUAGGAGGUCAUCGUAGUCUGGAUAUUUUUAUUGUUUUUCUUUUCGGUUUCAUACUACUAUUGGAUUUUGUUGUUUCUCACUAAGAGCUAUUCGACUUAUAAUCCCAAUGUUUUGUUGUUAUUUUCCAAA